GGUGCACAAAGAGAAAGUUGAUCCACAAGGCUGUUGAGCUUUGCUUGGGAUUCAAAGAAUAGAAGCUGCAUGCUGGAAUGUGGUACUUGCCUUUAGGCACCUGGAGGAGAUGAUGACCCAGUGGAGCUAGAAACAAAUGCACUCUUCCUGUUUUUGCAAUUUCAAUUUCCAUGUUGUAUGAGAUAACUGUAGCCCGUUAAAUUCAUUGCUUCAUCUGCAAGCUUCCUUUCCUGUCCUUGCUUUAAAACACUGCAGCAGUUCCAACACAAAAGAUACCUGUUCGCCUCCUGGGUUUCUCAAGCACUUACGUGUACGAUUUUUACAUGGUGUGUUUCUUUUAAAUUUUCCUCUCUGGUAGCGCAGGUGGUGGGAAGUGUAAGCUGCAGGCAUUAAAGAAACUAGUGCAGUGUAAACGCAUCUACACAUCUAUACCUUCUCUGAGAUCUGGCUCAGUGUAACCAAAAAAACCCUCAGCAAAGCCGUCCUCUUUGGUGUUUAACACUGCAGCCUUGUGUUGACAAGUGAAGGUAUGAGCGCUAAACAUAAAUAUCACCUCUCCUCCCCGUGCUUUUGGCACUAAGAAAUGCCAUUGUCUUAAUGUAUAAAAUUCUUAAGUUUGGCAUGGCACGAGUUUCAUUUUGAGGCAGGAAUAUGGCUGCUCUGUUGUAGGCAUACCUUGAUUUUGUUUGUUGGUGAGUGUGAAACAGCAAUUGGAAUUUCAUCAGGUACCAUAACCCCUUGGGUUUGUGUAAGUGUACUUGCUGUAUGCAAAGGCCUGGCAGGUAAAUGCAUUAAGUGUACAUACUGGACACUGGUUUCUUAGGUAAAAACAAAACCUAUUCGACACACAGUUUAACAAGGUCAAGUAGUAUAUAAGAAAACUUACUUUUAGUUGAUGAGUGAGGGAUUAUGUGCUGACCUGCCUGUUGGUUGAGGUUUAUGAGUUACUUAGCUGACGAUAGGUUUGCUCCAGUAUUUCACAUUCUAUGCUACUGCACAAAUAAUAGUAGUAUUUCCAGUUCCGAUCCAAAUUAUGAUGAUUACUCAACUGCUGAUAACUGUUCUGGUUUCCUAGUCUUUUCCCUGGAAAGCUCUUUUUUGCUGCCAUAGGUCUCCGCAUGCUUCCCUACAAUCCUGCUCCUCUCCACUAGGGUUCUUUCAGUGUUUGCUGGGUUAGCAGGAUAAUUUGCUUUCCUGGCAUGUUUUGCUUGUCCAUAGGGACAGGCUGCUCAAAAGAAGAGAGACCUAACCUGGUGCAUCAAGAUGCAGCAACUAGUAACUAUCAUUAGUUCUGAGUUCGAACCUCCCGGCGCUGAACUGCACGGUCUUCGAGAAUAGUAAGAUUGAUGUGUCUGUUGCUAGUUUAACAUGCCAGCCUAGCCUGCUUCCACACUGAGUUGUAGCGUUAUUAUCCUUCAGCGACAGAUAUGUGCAGUGAUGGUGAUCUUUGACCUGCAUAAAAUAAGUCAAAGGAACAAAGCAAAACUUCAAAGAACACAAGUGCGCCCAACACUUUCAAGCUUAUGAGAACAAUAUACUGUUAGCGUGAGUAUUGUGGAGAUUUAAUCGUUUCAUCUGUACCUUGGCAUGUUUUUGUAAUUAGAAAUCAGACAAUCCUUUUAAUUUUAGAGCUAGAAUUUCUUUUAUUUUUUUUUUUUUCCUCAGGAAUCAGUCCUAUGCUUUGAUUUUUCUUUUAAUAUUUUGCAUAUCACGUAGUCUGAUUUAUCAUGAAAAUGUAUGUUGCAUAUGCAACUAGUAAAGAGCACUUACGGUCCUGUUUUUGACAGAAUGAGUUGUUUAAGCCAGCUGCAGUAAAAUUUUCCCGAUUCAGACUAAUGAUCAGGAGAGUGAUUGCAAAUUCCAGAACUUUCUGAUGUAGGGAGCCAGCAAACAGCUAUAAAACCCAGAACAAAUGCUUCCUAUAAUGUACUUUGUUCAUUUAUUUCAUACCAUAAGGAUAGUUUUGUUUUAAUUAUUUAUGGUAAUAAACUUCUGAGUAAAGGCAUUCUGCUAUAUUUUGUAAUGAUAAUGAAACUUGAGUGAUGCAGAGCCUCUCCACAGCAUCCUGAUAUUAAACGUGUCUUGAAAACAAAACAAGGAUUCGGUCAUGUGCUCUUUUAGGAUUUUUUUGCUAUUUAAAUAGGGGUUGAGAGCUCGUUUUCUUCUUCUCUCCUGCCUUUCCCUUCCCCUCAAGAUAAAGCAGGGGCCUAAUGCUGUUUCAUGUAUCAGAAAUUCACACUGUUAAAAAGAAGCUCGUAAUUAAGGCUCAGGAUCCUGCACUUUUUAAUGUAUGAGAGCUCGUGGAAAGCAUCUUAAAGAACCUUUCCAAACAUUCUCUGCAAGCUUAUAGGGAGCAUCACAAAUUUUGCCCCCUGGCUGCCUUUAUUAUCAUGGGCGGGGGGGAAGUGUGUGUGUGUGUGUCCCCUGAAAUACAAUUAAAAAGGCCUUUCCGAGUCACCUGUACAAUCUUUAUGUGCAAACUGUGGCAGACACAACUCAGAGGCUCUUCAGUAGUUCAUUCCUAGUGGCAUGAUUUUUUUUCUCUCACUGGUGAUCUAUUUAAGUAAAAGCUAUUGAAGCAAAAGGCAUUUCCUGGGGAAUUAAUGAUCAGAUAGGAGGAGUUGAUAACCUAAAAUACAAGUGAGGGCCAUCUAUCCCAGCCCAUCAUUAGUCUCCAGAAAAUGCCCUGUACUGAGGGCACUGAUUUACUGGUUUACUUAUUUUUUUUUAAAGUAAAAAGAAUGAAGAGCAGUACCAAUUUGCUGUCUGUGUUUUUAACAGUUCUCAAAUACUGUGCUUAUAUUUCAUCUGUUUUAACCUGGUAGAUUGAUAGGAUGCCAUACUACGCAGUGCUUAAGAACUUGAUAAAUAAUAAUGUAGGGAGCAUUUGUCAAGAAUUAAUGCCUUUCAACUAGCCACUUGGAGUACUCUAACACUUGUUAGUGUUUUAUUAAUUUGAUAAUUAUUAGCCUCCUGAGUGCUAAAAUUGAAGUCUUACUUUGCUGGUGGUGGUAUUACAACUAGAAAGAGACAAACACUGUAAAUAGAGUAUUAAUGGUGACAUUCAAUUUAGGUUCUAGCCUUUACAACAGGAUGCAUGGGGGGUAUAUAUUCUGGUAGGUAGCGCAAAUAGAGAUGCUGUAACAGUAGCUCCUUACCAUUAGUUAGGGAUGUUAAUGAUGUUGUAGAUAACAGGACUGAGACAUGGGCAAUGGGAAGUGGUUCCACUCCCAUAGCUGCCGCUCGUUCAUUCUGUGGCCAUGAGCAAGUCCUUUCAUCUUUCCAUGCCUCAGUUUCUCGAUUGGGAAUGUAUGUUGCUAGUGGCAGUUACCUGCUUAACGAGUGUUUUCACGAAGUUCUGAGUUAAUAUGUGUCAGGAGAGCCUUUGUUCCCCAUUGUUGUUACCAAAUUUGUAAAUAUUAAUGGAAAAAAAAA
ensembl:lncRNA